rnacentral:rRNA from 1 species
CAAUAGCGUAUAUUAAAGUUGUUGCAGUUAAAAAGCUCGUAGUUGGAUUUCGGUUAAGAGCGACCGGUCCGCCGUUUGGUGUGCACUGGUUGGUUUUAACUUCCUGUAGAGGACGUGCUCUGGGUUUAACGACCUGGACUCGGAGUCUACGUGGUUACUUUGAAAAAAUUAGAGUGUUCAAAGCGGGCUUACGCUUGAAUAUUUCAGCAUGGAAUAACACUAUAGGACUCCUGUCCUAUUUCGUUGGUCUCGGGACGGGAGUAAUGAUUAAGAGGAACAGUUGGGGGCAUUCGUAUUUCAUUGUCAGAGGUGAAAUUCUUGGAUUUAUGAAAGACGAACUUCUGCGAAAGCAUUUGCCAAGGAUGUUUUCAUUAA